rnacentral:lncRNA from 1 species
AUUAAACCGAUUGAAAGAUUAUGUCUUCAUCAUAUGAAUAUCAGGCACAAUCCCUCCGGUUAGGGGUUUAGUAUCAUACUAUCAUAAAAUAUAUGAGAAGAAAAUAACCCGUGUCAUGCCAAUAACUGUUUUUUUUUUAAAUAAAUGUGUUUAGUUCCGAUGCAAAGACCCUAUAAGUGAAUCAAUAUUAAAGCCAAAAUAUGCAAUCUUUAAUGACCUGACAACAGUAUCGUAACUAUAUCCCUUCUUAAUAAGUCUUAAUAAGACUU